GAUGAACGCUGGCGGCGUGCCUAAUACAUGCAAGUCGAGCGAACAGACGAGGAGCUUGCUCCUCUGACGUUAGCGGCGGACGGGUGAGUAACACGUGGAUAACCUACCUAUAAGACUGGGAUAACUUCGGGAAACCGGAGCUAAUACCGGAUAAUAUAUUGAACCGCAUGGUUCAAUAGUGAAAGACGGUUUUGCUGUCACUUAUAGAUGGAUCCGCGCCGCAUUAGCUAGUUGGUAAGGUAACGGCUUACCAAGGCAACGAUGCGUAGCCGACCUGAGAGGGUGAUCGGCCACCCUGGAACUGAGCCACGGUCCAGACUCCUACGGGAGGCAGCAGUCGGGAAUCUUCCGCAAUGGGCGAAAGCUUGACGGAGCAACGCCGCGUGAGUGAUGAAGGUCUUCGGAUCGUAAAACUCUGUUAUUAGGGAAGAACAAAUGUGUAAGUAACUAUGCACGUCUUGACGGUACCUAAUCAGAAAGCCACGGCUAACUACGUG
rnacentral:rRNA from 1 species